UUGGUGCCUUCGGGAACUCUGAGACAGGUGCUGCAUGGCUGUCGUCAGCUCGUGUUGUGAAAUGUUGGGUUAAGUCCCGCAACGAGCGCAACCCUUAUCCUUUGUUGCCAGCGGUCCGGCCGGGAACUCAAAGGAGACUGCCAGUGAUAAACUGGAGGAAGGUGGGGAUGACGUCAAGUCAUCAUGGCCCUUACGAGUAGGGCUACACACGUGCUACAAUGGCGCAUACAAAGAGAAGCGAACUCGCGAGAGCAGGCGGACCUCAUAAAGUGCGUCGUAGUCCGGAUUGGAGUCUGCAACUCGACUCCAUGAAGUCGGAAUCGCUAGUAAUCGUAGAUCAGAAUGCUACGGUGAAUACGUUCCCGGGCCUUGUACACACCGCCCGUCACACCAUGGGAGUGGGUUGCAAAAGAAGUAGGUAGCUUAACCUUCGGGAGGGCGCUUACCACUUUGUGAUUCAUGACUGGGGUGAAGUCGUAACAAGGUAGCC
rnacentral:rRNA from 1 species